rnacentral:rRNA from 1 species
UACGUAGGGUGCAAGCGUUAUCCGGAAUUAUUGGGCGUAAAGAGCUCGUAGGCGGUUUGUCGCGUCUGCUAGUGAAACUGGAGGCUCAACCUCCAGCCUGCAGUGGGUACGGGCAAACUAGAGGUGCGGUAGGGAGAUUGGAAUUCCUGGUGUAGCGGUGAAAUGCGCAGAUAUCAGGAAGAACACCCGUGGCUAAGGCGGCUCUCGUAGUACGUGACUGACGCUGAGACGCGAAGCGUGGGAGCGAACAGG